UACGAAGGGGGCUAGCGUUGUUCGGAAUUACUGGGCGUAAAGCGCGCGUAGGCGGUGAUCUUUGUCAGAGGUGAAAGCCCGGGGCUCAACUCCGGAAUUGCCUUUGAAACGGGAUCGCUUGAGUCCGAGAGAGGAUGGCGGAAUUCCUAGUGUAGAGGUGAAAUUCGUAGAUAUUAGGAAGAACACCGGUGGCGAAGGCGGCCUGCUGGGCAGUUACUGACACUGAGGCGCGACAGCGUGGGGAGCAAACAGG
rnacentral:rRNA from 1 species